rnacentral:rRNA from 1 species
UACGUAGGGUGCGAGCGUUGUCCGGAUUAUUGGGCGUAAAGAGCUCGUAGGCGGUUUGUCGCGUCGGCCGUGAAAUCUCCACGCUUAACGUGGAGCGUGCGGUCGAUACGGGCAGACUUGAGUUCGGUAGGGGAGACUGGAAUUCCUGGUGUAGCGGUGAAAUGCGUAGAGAUCGGGAGGAACACCAGAGGCGAAGGCGGCUCGCUGGACAGGCACUGACACUCAACUACGAAAGCGUGGGGAGCAAACAGG